rnacentral:rRNA from 1 species
GGGUUGUGAGGUUAAGCGACUAAGCGUACACGGUGGAUGCCCUGGCAGUCAGAGGCGAUGAAGGGCGUGCUAAUCUGCGAUAAGCGCCGGUAAGGUGAUAUGAACCGUUAUAACCGGCGAUACCCGAAUGGGGAAACCCAGUGUGACUCGUCACACUAUCAUUAACUGAAUCCAUAGGUUAAUGAGGCGAACCGGGGGAACUGAAACAUCUAAGUACCCCGAGGAAAAGAAAUCAACCGAGAUUCCCCCAGUAGCGGCGAGCGAACGGGGAGGAGCCCAGAGCCUGAAUCAGCAUGUGUGUUAGUGGAAGCGUCUGGAAAGGCGCGCGAUACAGGGUGACAGCCCCGUACACAAAAGCGUAUGUGCUGUGAGCUCGAUGAGUAGGGCGGGACACGUGGUAUCCUGUCUGAAUAUGGGGGGACCAUCCUCCAAGGCUAAAUACUCCUGACUGACCGAUAGUGAACCAGUACCGUGAGGGAAAGGCGAAAAGAACCCCGGCGAGGGGAGUGAAAAAGAACCUGAAACCGUGUACGUACAAGCAGUGGGAGCACCCUUUGGGGUGUGACUGCGUACCUUUUGUAUAAUGGGUCAGCGACUUAUAUUCUGUAGCAAGGUUAACCGAAUAGGGGAGCCGGAGGGAAACCGAGUCUUAAUUGGGCGUUAAGUUGCAGGGUAUAGACCCGAAACCCGGUGAUCUAGCCAUGGGCAGGUUGAAGGUUGGGUAACACUAACUGGAGGACCGAACCGACUAAUGUUGAAAAAUUAGCGGAUGACCUGUGGCUGGGGGUGAAAGGCCAAUCAAACCGGGAGAUAGCUGGUUCUCCCCGAAAGCUAUUUAGGUAGCGCCUCGUGAAUUCAUCUCCGGGGGUAGAGCACUGUUUCGGCUAGGGGGUCAUCCCGACUUACCAACCCGAUGCAAACUGCGAAUACCGGAGAAUGUUAUCACGGGAGACACACGGCGGGUGCUAACGUCCGUCGUGAAGAGGGAAACAACCCAGACCGCCAGCUAAGGUCCCAAAGUCAUGGUUAAGUGGGAAACGAUGUGGGAAGGCCCAGACAGCCAGGAUGUUGGCUUAGAAGCAGCCAUCAUUUAAAGAAAGCGUAAUAGCUCACUGGUCGAGUCGGCCUGCGCGGAAGAUGUAACGGGGCUAAACCAUGCACCGAAGCUGCGGCAGCGAC